CCGAGUUUACAACUCCCAAACCCAAUGUGAACGUUACCAAACUGUUGCCUCGGCGGGAUCUCUGCCCCGGGUGCGUCGCAGCCCCGGACCAAGGCGCCCGCCGGAGGACCAACCAAAACUCUUAUUGUAUACCCCCUCGCGGGUUUUUUUUAUAAUCUGAGCCUUCUCGGCGCCUCUCGUAGGCGUUUCGAAAAUGAAUCAAAACUUUCAACAACGGAUCUCUUGGUUCUGGCAUCGAUGAAGAACGCAGCGAAAUGCGAUAAGUAAUGUGAAUUGCAGAAUUCAGUGAAUCAUCGAAUCUUUGAACGCACAUUGCGCCCGCCAGUAUUCUGGCGGGCAUGCCUGUCCGAGCGUCAUUUCAACCCUCGAACCCCUCCGGGGGGUCGGCGUUGGGGAUCGGCCCUCCCUUAGCGGGUGGCCGUCUCCGAAAUACAGUGGCGGUCUCGCCGCAGCCUCUCCUGCGCAGUAGUUUGCACACUCGCAUCGGGAGCGCGGCGCGUCCACAGCCGUUAAACACCCAACUUCUGAAAUGUUGACCUCGGAUCAGGUAGGAAUACCCGCUGAACUUAAGCAUAUCAAUAAGCGGAGGAAAAGAAACCAACAGGGAUUGCCCCAGUAACGGCGAGUGAAGCGGCAACAGCUCAAAUUUGAAAUCUGGUCCCUAGGGCGAGUUGUAAUUUGUAGAGGAUGCUUUUGGUGAGGUGCUCGAGUUCUCUGGAAACGGGACACAGAGGGUGAGAGCCCGUCUGG
rnacentral:rRNA from 1 species